rnacentral:rRNA from 1 species
UACAGAGGUCUCGAGCGUUGUUCGGAUUCAUUGGGCGUAAAGGGUGCGUAGGUGGCGCUGUAAGUCAGGUGUGAAAUUUCGGAGCUUAACUCCGAAACUGCAUUUGAUACUGCGGUGCUUGAGGACUGGAGAGGAGACUGGAAUUCCUGGUGUAGCAGUGAAAUGCGUAGAUAUCAGGAGGAAUACCGAUGGCGAAGGCAGGUCUCUGGGCUGACACUGACGCUCAUGCACGAAAGCGUGGGGAGCAAACAGG